AUUGUACUCCCUCCGUCCGAAAAUACUUGUAGGAAAAAUGGAUGUAUCUAGACGUAUUAUAUUUCUAGAUAUAUUUAUUUUUGUGCAUUUGUCCGACAAGUAUUUUCAGACGGGGGAAGUACGAA
rfam:Triticum aestivum genome assembly, contig: Triticum_aestivum_CS42_TGACv1_scaffold_130301_2BL